AUUGAACGCUGGCGGCAGGCCUAACACAUGCAAGUCGAGCGGAGCGGCGGACGGGUGAGCUAUGUCUGGGAAACUGCCUGAUGGAGGGGGAUAACUAAUGGAAACGGUUGCUAAUACCGCACACCUUCAGUUGUGCCGAGGUGGGAUUAGCUAGUAGGUGGGGUAAAGGCUCAUCUAGUCGCCGAUCCCUAGCGGGUCUGAGAGGAUGACCAGCCACACUGGAACUGAGACACGGUCCAGACUCCUACGGGAGGCAGCAGUGGGGAAUAUUGGACAAUGGGCGAAAGCCUGAUCCAGCCAUGCCGCGUGUGUGAAGAAGGUCUUCGGAUUGUAAAGCACUUUAAGUUGGGAGGCGUUACCAACAGAAUAAGCACCGGCUAACUUCGUGCCAGCAGCCGCGGUAAUAC
rnacentral:rRNA from 1 species